ACGCUGGCGGCAGGCCUAACACAUGCAAGUCGAGCGGAAACGACACUAACAAUCCUUCGGGUGCGUUAAUGGGCGUCGAGCGGCGGACGGGUGAGUAAUGCCUAGGAAAUUGCCUUGAUGUGGGGGAUAACCAUUGGAAACGAUGGCUAAUACCGCAUAAUGCCUACGGGCCAAAGAGGGGGACCUUCGGGCCUCUCGCGUCAAGAUAUGCCUAGGUGGGAUUAGCUAGUUGGUGAGGUAAUGGCUCACCAAGGCGACGAUCCCUAGCUGGUCUGAGAGGAUGAUCAGCCACACUGGAACUGAGACACGGUCCAGACUCCUACGGGAGGCAGCAGUGGGGAAUAUUGCACAAUGGGCGAAAGCCUGAUGCAGCCAUGCCGCGUGUAUGAAGAAGGCCUUCGGGUUGUAAAGUACUUUCAGUUGUGAGGAAGGGUGUGUAGUUAAUAGCUGCRCAUCUUGACGUUAGCAACAGAAGAAGCACCGGCUAACUCCGUGCCAGCAGCCGCGGUAAUACGGAGGGUGCGAGCGUUAAUCGGAAUUACUGGGCGUAAAGCGCAUGCAGGUGGUUCAUUAAGUCAGAUGUGAAAGCCCGGGGCUCAACCUCGGAACUGCAUUUGAAACUGGUGAACUAGAGUGCUGUAGAGGGGGGUAGAAUUUCAGGUGUAGCGGUGAAAUGCGUAGAGAUCUGAAGGAAUACCAGUGGCGAAGGCGGCCCCCUGGACA
rnacentral:rRNA from 2 species